rfam:Streptococcus gallolyticus subsp. gallolyticus ATCC 43143 DNA, complete genome.
UGAAAACGUUUUACAAUAAUAUCGUUCUUAAAUUUCCUUGAAACGGAAAAGAAUUGCCAAGUUCGCUUGGAAGGAGAUUAUUCUUUUUUGUUUCAACGAAAAAUAUUUAAAAGGAGGAAGAACAAGA